rnacentral:rRNA from 1 species
AUUGAACGCUGGCGGCAGGCCUAACACAUGCAAGUCGAGCGAGCGGCGGACGGGUGAGUAAUGUCUGGGAAACUGCCUGAUGGUGGGGGGUAACUACUGGAAACGGUAGCUAAUACGGCAUACCAUCAGAUGUGCCCAGAUGGGAUUAGCUAGUCGGUGGGGUAACGGCUCACCAAGGCGACGAUCCCUAGCUGGGCUGGGAGGCUGACCAGCCAAACUGGAACUGAGACACGGUCGAGACUCCUGCGAGAGGCAGCAGUAGGGAAUAUUGCACAAUGGGCGCAAGCCUGAUGCAGCCAAGCCGCGUGUGUGAAGAAGGCCUGCGGGGUGUAAAGCACUUUCAGCGGGGAGGCGUUACCCACAGAAGAAGCACCGGCUAACUCCGUGCCAGCAGCCGCGGUAAUAC